rnacentral:misc_RNA from 1 species
UACGGAGGGGGCUAGCGUUGUUCGGAAUUACUGGGCGUAAAGCGCACGUAGGCGGUCCGUUAAGUUGGAUGUGAAAGCCCGGGGCUCAACUCCGGAUGUGCAUUCAAGACUGGCGGGCUCGAGUCCUGGAGAGGAGAGUGGAAUUCCCAGUGUAGAGGUGAAAUUCGUAGAUAUUGGGAAGAACACCAGUGGCGAAGGCGGCUCUCUGGCCAGGUACUGACGCUGAGGUGCGAAAGCGUGGGGAGCAAACAGG